rnacentral:rRNA from 1 species
UGGGGAAUAUUGCGCAAUGGGCGAAAGCCUGACGCAGCCAUGCCGCGUGUGUGAAGAAGGCCUUAGGGUUGUAAAGCACUUUCAAUUGGGAGGAAAGGUUAGUCGUUAAUAGCGGCUAGCUGUGACGUUACCUUUAGAAGAAGCACCGGCUAACUCCGUGCCAGCAGCCGCGGUAAUACGGAGGGUGCGAGCGUUAAUCGGAAUUACUGGGCGUAAAGCGCGCGUAGGCGGUUUAUUAAGUCGGAUGUGAAAGCCCCGGGCUCAACCUGGGAACUGCAUCCGAUACUGGUCGACUAGAGUGCGAGAGAGGGAGGUAGAAUUCCACGUGUAGCGGUGAAAUGCGUAGAUAUGUGGAGGAAUACCGGUGGCGAAGGCGGCCUCCUGGCUCGACACUGACGCUGAGGUGCGAAAGCGUGGGGAGCAAACAGG